UCCUACAUGAACCUGCUCAUACAAUCUUGG
rnacentral:piRNA from 1 species